GCCGAAUUGGUGGAAUUGGCAGACACGCCAGCCUUAGGAGCUGGUGCCCGCAAGGGUGUGUGGGUUCGAGUCCCGCAUUCGGCA
rnacentral:tRNA from 1 species